CCUACGGGAGGCAGCAGUGAGGAAUAUUGGUCAAUGGACGAGAGUCUGAACCAGCCAAGUAGCGUGAAGGAUGACUGCCCUAUGGGUUGUAAACUUCUUUUAUAUGGGAAUAAAAUGUUCCACGUGUGGGAUUUUGUAUGUACCAUAUGAAUAAGGAUCGGCUAAAUCCGUGCCAGCAGCCGCGGUAAUACGGAGGUACCGAGCUGUAUCCGGAUUUAUUGGGUUUAAAGGGAGCGAAGGUGUAUUGUUAAGUAAGUUGUGAAAGUUUGCGGCUCAACCGUAAAAUUGAAUUUGAAACUGGCAGUCUUGAGUACAGUAGAGGUGGGCGGAAUUCGUGGUGUAGCGGUGAAAUGCUUAGAUAUCACGAAGAACUCCGAUUGCGAAGGCAGUUCACUGGACUGCAACUGACACUGAGGCUCGAAAGUGUGGGUAUCAAACAGGAUUAGAUACCCGAGUAGUC
rnacentral:rRNA from 1 species